rnacentral:tRNA from 1 species
UGUAGCUCAGCUGGUUAGAGCGCACCCCUGAUAAGGGUGAGGUCGGCAGUUCAAGUCUGCCCAAGCCUACCAAUUCUACUUGGGCUUCGUUUAUUUUGGAGAGCUGCGAU